GAAGAAUCUCAACAUACAGUCCUCAGCAGCUUUAGCAUGGGCAACAAAUUAAGUCUCUGUAAAAGGCCCAAAGGACAGGGUUUGGUGAGAUUCUGGAGAGCUGGAAACAUGGAGGUUGACAGGAAUGUAAAGAAGAACUCAUUUACAUGCCAGGAGGGUGGAACACCCCAAUUCCAUGAGGAUAACUGCUCCUGUACUCCAGACCUCACCCCAUGUGUCUCUUCAUCUGGCUGGUUAUUUGUCCUUUAAGAUCUCCUUACUCAACCAGUAAAUGUGUCUUUACAUUGUUUUAGUCUUGAACUAGAAGAUGAAAGCAUCAAAUAAAGAAAUAUACUGUGGGUAUAUGGAUUACAAAAAAAGUGCUGGAUGUUCCAUGCCCUCAAACAUUGGACUCCAAGCUCUUCAGCUUUGGGACUUCAACUGGCUUCCUUGCUCCUCGGCUUACAGAUGGCCUAUUGUGGGACCCUGUGAUCGUGCAUACCCAGAAGCAAUACUU
rnacentral:lncRNA from 1 species